rnacentral:rRNA from 1 species
GAAACGACUGCUAAGACUGGAUAGGAAGAUAAAAGGCAUCUUGUAUCUUUUAAAAGACCUAGUUAAUAGGUAUGCUUUAGGAGGGGCUUGCGCCAUAUUAGUUAGUUGGUAGGGUAAUGGCCUACCAAGACGAUGAUGUGUAGCUGGACUGAGAGGUUGAACAGCCACAUUGGGACUGAGACACGGCCCAAACUCCUACGGGAGGCAGCAGUAGGGAAUUUUCGGCAAUGGAGGAAACUCUGACCGAGCAACGCCGCGUGAAUGACGAAGUACUUCGGUAUGUAAAGUUCUUUUAUCGAGGAAGAAAAGCAAAUGGCGAACCAUUUGUUUGCCGGUACUUGAUGAAUAAGCCCCGGCUAAUUAUGUGCCAGCAGCCGCGGUAAGACAUAAGGGGCAAGUGUUAUCCGGAAUUAUUGGGCGUAAAGGGUGCGUAGGCGGUCUAGUAAGUCAGUGGUGUAAUGUCAACGCUUAACGUUGUCCGGCUAUUGAAACUGCUAAACUUGAGUUAGAUAGAGGCGAGUGGAAUUCCAUGUGUAGCGGUAAAAUGCGUAAAUAUAUGGAGGAACACCAGAGGCGUAGGCGGCUCGCUGGGUCUUAACUGACGCUGAGGCACGAAAGCGUGGGGAGCAAACAGGAUUAGAUACCCUGGUAGUCCACGCCGUAAACGAUGAGUACUAAGUGUCGGGUUAAACCGGUACUGAAGUUAACACAUUAAGUACUCCGCCUGAGUAGUACGUACGCAAGUAUGAAACUUAAAGGAAUUGACGGGACUCCGCACAAGCGGUGGAUCAUGUUGUUUAAUUCGAAGAUACCCGAAAAACCUUACCAGGUCUUGACAUGUUUUUGCAAAAUGAUAGUAAUAUCGUGGAGGUUACCAGAAACACAGGUGGUGCAUGGUUGUCGUCAGCUCGUGCCGUGAGAUGUUAGGUUAAGUCCUAAAACGAGCGAAACCCUUAUCGUUAGUUGCCAGCACGUUAUGGUGGGGACUUUAACGAGACUGCCAAUGAUAAAUUGGAGGAAGGUGAGGAUCACGUCAAAUCAGCAUGCCCCUUAUGACCUGGGCUACAAACGUGAUACAAUGGCUGUUACAAAGGGUAGCUGAAACGCAAGUUCUUGGCCAAUCCCCAAAAACAGCCCCAGUCCGGAUUGAAGUCUGCAACUCGACUUCAUGAAGUUGGAAUCGCUAGUAAUCGCGAAUCAGCAUGUCGCGGUGAAUACGUUCACGGGGUUUGUACACACCGCCCGUCA